ensembl:misc_RNA
CUCAACAAAACUUUUCCUAGACUAUGUAGCAAAAAACACCUUUGGUUACCUGAAUGGACAG